GUAGAUGUUGCCAUUGCGACAGGCCACAGUGAUACGGAACUCCACAUCAAACUGACCAGUCACAUCCAUGAAGGUGGGAGUAGUGGGCAGAGACAUCUACAGACACACACAGGACAGCUGACUGCAUCAUCAUCUGCCAUGUUCUUCUUCAACGUCCCUAUACAGAUUUCGUUACCUGGCGGCGUAUAGGCUGGUCUUUGUGAAGAUGAACAAAAGCCUCCAUUUCCUGUAGAUCAAGCAUGAGGUACCUGAACAAACCAAAAUCUGUUUAUUUGAAGCUACAUGAUAUUCCAGGUGCAGAUGAAGAGAAUAUUUCAAUGAAUAAUUGCCAAAGAAAAUCUACUGAUAUCAUUGUUGGAAUGACACGAAUGGCACUGUUAUUGUUGUCUGAAAAAUGAUGCACUGACCAUAACAAAGACAAGGGAGG